GAGAGGUAACGGCUCACCAAGGCAUCGACGGGUAGCUGGUCUGAGAGGACGAUCAGCCACACUGGAACUGAGACACGGUCCAGACUCCUACGGGAGGCAGCAGUAGGGAAUCUUGCACAAUGGGCGAAAGCCUGAUGCAGCGAUGCCGCGUGCGGGAAGAAGGCCUUCGGGUUGUAAACCGCUUUCAGGAGGGAAGAAAAUGACGGUACCUCCAGAAGAAGGUGCGGCCAACUACGUGCCAGCAGCCGCGGUAAUACGUAGGGUCCGAGCGUUGUCCGGAAUUAUUGGGCGUAAAGGGCUCGUAGGCGGUUUGUCACGUCGGAAGUGAAAGCCCAGGGCUUAACCCUGGGUUUGCUUUCGAUACGGGCAGACUGGAGGUAUGCAGGGGAGAAUGGAAUUCCUGGUGUAGCGGUGAAAUGCGCAGAUAUCAGGAGGAACACCGGUGGCGAAGGCGGUUCUCUGGGCAUUACCUGACGCUGAGGAGCGAAAGUGUGGGGAGCGAACAGGAUUAGAUACCCUGGUAGCCCACACCGUAAACGUUGGGCGCUAGGUGUGGGGACCUUCCACGGUUUCCGUGCCGCAGCUAACGCAUUAAGCG
rnacentral:rRNA from 1 species